rnacentral:rRNA from 1 species
UACGUAGGGGGCAAGCGUUGUCCGGAAUCAUUGGGCGUAAAGAGCGCGUAGGCGGUCCGGUAAGUCCGCUCUGAAAGUCCGGGGCUCAACCCCGGGAGGCGGGCGGAUACUGUCGGGCUAGAGUCCGGAAGAGGCGAGUGGAAUUCCGGGUGUAGCGGUGGAAUGCGUAGAGAUCCGGAAGAACACCGGUGGCGAAGGCGGCCUGCUGGGCGGCGACUGACGCUGAGGCGCAACAGCGUGGGGAGCAAACAGG